CUAUUUGUUAUUUAUUAAAUAUCAGCAGUGGAAACCGACAUUAUCCUUCCCAGGAGACUUGAAAUCUAAAUUUAAAAAGGCAGACAUGACACAAAUAUAGCCACUCCAUUGGAAAUCUGGGUGGAGUGAUCUAUUUCUUCUUGCUUAGAAGAAUUACUCACAGACAUGAUGAUGGUGUUCUCCAGUAGACUAAUCAUAGCAAAUAUGAGGAAGAAGGACUUUGGGAACUCUAAAUAUAAAGUAUCGGGACUGGAAGUCACCUUUGAACACAGAACACAGAAUUGCCACGGAUCAGGAUCCUCAUCUCAGAGCAGUUUCUGGCAGACAGCCAGAGCAUCAAAGUCUUGGAGCUUCAAGGGACCUCAAAGACCAUCUUGUCCAAUCCCCUCAUUUCACAGAUGAGGAAACUGAGACCCAGGCCAGGGAAGCUGUGUGUGAGGUCAGACACCUAAGAUGGGGAAGGGAAGACCACCCUGGAAAACUCAUACUCUAAGGUAGGGAGGAGUGCCAUCUACCUUAUGCCAUAGUAGGAAAUUUCUCCUGUCAUGUAAAUGCCCUUUUAAUUCCCAUCAUCCUACUCAGUGAAUACUGUUUGGCUCAAGAGGGUGGGUGAUGUGGUCUAUGAAUUUAAGCUGUCUACUUCUGCCUAAAGUUUAAUAGAAAAGCCUCUUGCCCACAUGACAU
rnacentral:lncRNA from 1 species